CUAAGAAUCUUCCGCAAUGGGGGAAACCCUGACGGAGCGACGCCGCGUGGACGAUGAAGGCCGUAAGGUUGUAAAGUCCUUUUGCAGGUGAAGAAUAAGCCGGGGAGUGGAAUGCCCUGGUGAUGACGUUAGCCUGCGAAUAAGCCCCGGCCAAUUACGUGCCAGCAGCCGCGGUAAUACGUAUGGGGCGAGCGUUGUUCGGAGUUAUUGGGCGUAAAGGGCGUGUAGGCGGCGCGCGGCGUCCGGUGUGAAAACGCAGGGCUCAACCCUGCGGUUGCGCUGGAAACGGGCGUGCUUGAGUCCCGGGGGGGAAGCUGGAAUUCCUGGUGUAGGAGUGAAAUCUGUAGAGAUCAGGAAGAACACCGGUGGCGAAGGCGAGCUUCUAUUCGAGGACUGACGCUGAGGCGCGAAAGCGUGGGGAGCAAACAG
rnacentral:rRNA from 1 species